rnacentral:rRNA from 1 species
UACGUAGGGGGCUAGCGUUGUCCGGAUUUAUUGGGCGUAAAGAGCGUGUAGGCGGUCAGGUAGGUCUGGUGUGAAAACUCGAGGCUUAACCUCGAGAUGUCAUCGGAAACCAUUUGGCUAGAGUCCGGAAGAGGAGAGUGGAAUUCCUGGUGUAGCGGUGAAAUGCGCAGAUAUCAGGAAGAACACCAAUGGCGAAAGCAGCUCUCUGGGACGGUACUGACGCUGAGACGCGAAAGCGUGGGGAGCGAACAGG